rnacentral:rRNA from 1 species
GUGAGCGAGGGGCCGGCAGCGGCGGGAAGACGUAGGGUCGAAGCGUUUGCGGGGUUUAGUGGGGGUAAGAGGUGCGCAGGCGGAUGCGUGAGUCUGGGGUGAAAGCGCGCCGCUUAACGGGGAAACUGCCUUAGAUACUAUCAGUCUUGGAUAAGCGGGAGGUUCGUGGAAUUCCGAGUGUAGCAGUGAAAUGUGUAGAUAUUCGGAAGAACACCAGUGGCGAAGGCAGCGAACUGGCGCUUUAUCGACGCUCAUGCACGAAAGCAUGGGGAUCAAACAGGAUUAGAUACCCCGGUAGUC